rnacentral:rRNA from 1 species
AGAGUUGAUCCUGGCUCAGGAUGAACGCUAGCUACAGGCUUAACACAUGCAAGUCGAGGGGCAGCAUGAGAUUAGCUUGCUAAUCUGAUGGCGACCGGCGCACGGGUGAGUAACGCGUAUCCAACCUUCCCCAUACUAGAGGAUAGCCCGGCGAAAGUCGGAUUAAUACUCUAUGUUAUUCGAAGCGGACAUCUAAUUUGAAUCAAAAGGUUCACCGGUAUGGGAUGGGGAUGCGUCUGAUUAGGUUGUUGGCGGGGUAACGGCCCACCAAGCCUGCGAUCAGUAGGGGUUCUGAGAGGAAGGUCCCCCACAUUGGUACUGAGACACGGACCAAACUCCUACGGGAGGCAGCAGUGAGGAAUAUUGGUCAAUGGGCGAGAGCCUGAACCAGCCAAAAGUAGCGUGCAGGAUGACCGGCCCUAGUGGGUUAGUAAACUGUCUUUUGGUACGGGAAUAAAGUCAGGGACGUGUCCCUGUUUGUAUGUACCGUAAGAAUAAGGACCGGCUAAUUCCGUGCCAGCCGCCGC